rnacentral:rRNA from 1 species
GGUAUUCCAGCUCCAAUAGCGUAUAUUAAAGUUGUUGUGGUUAAAAAGCUCGUAGUUGAACCUUGGCCCKGGCUGGCCGGGUCCGCCUCACCGCGUUGUACUGGUCGGGCCGGGCCUUYCCUUCUGUGGAACCCCAUGCCUUUCACUGGGUGUGGCGGGGAAACAGGACUUUUACUGUGAAAAAAUUAGAGUGCUCCAGGCAGGCCUAUGCUCGAAUACAUUAGCAUGGAAUAAUAGAAUAGGACGUGUGGUUCUAUUUUGUUGGUUUCUAGGACCGCCGUAAUGAUUAAUAGGGACAGUCGGGGGCAUCAGUAUUCAAUUGUCAGAGGUGAAAUUCUUGGAUUUAUUGAAGACUAACUACUGCGAAAGCAUUUGCCAAGGAUGUUUUCAUUAAUCAGGAACGAAAGUUAGGGGAUCGAAGACGAUCAGAUACCGUCGUAGUCUUAACCAUAAACUAUGCCGACUAGGGAUCGGACGGUGUUAUUUUUUGACCCGUUCGGCACCUUACGAGAAAUCAAAGUGCUUGGGCUCCAGGGGGAGUAUGGUCGCAAGGCUGAAACUUAAAGAAAUUGACGGAAGGGCACCACCAGGGGUGGAGCCUGCGGCUUAAUUUGACUCAACACGGGGAAACUCACCAGGUCCAGACACAAUGAGGAUUGACAGAUUGAGAGCUCCUUCUUGAUUUUGUGGGUGGUGGUGCAUGGCCGUUCUUAGUUGGUGGAGUGAUUUGUCUGCUUAAUUGCGAUAACGAACGAGACCU